UCCCUGAGAAUGCUCCGACAUCUUCGAAGUAGCGUAGCUGUCGAGCACCAUUGGGGACC
rnacentral:pre_miRNA from 1 species